AGACUCCUACGGGAGGCAGCAGUGAGGAAUUUUGCGCAAUGGGGGAAACCCUGACGCAGCAACGCCGCGUGAGUGAUGAAGGCCUUCGGGUCGUAAAACUCUGUCAAGUGGGAAGAACCUGAUUAUCGUUAAUAUCGGUAAUCACUGACGGUACCACUGAAGGAAGCACCGGCUAACUCCGUGCCAGCAGCCGCGGUAAUACGGGGGGUGCAAGCGUUAUUCGGAAUUAUUGGGCGUAAAGAGCGCGUAGGCGGCCAGUUAAGUCAGAUGUGAAAGCCCGGGGCUCACCCCCGGAAGUGCAUUUGAACUAAUUGGCUUGAGUAUGGGAGAGGAAAGUGGAAUUCCUGGUGGUAGGGGUGAAAUUCGUAGAUUAUCAGGAGGAACACCGGUGGGCGAAGGCGACUUCCUGGACCAAUACUGACGCUGAGGCGCGAAGGCGUGGGGAGCAAACAGGAUUAGAUACCCUGGUAGUCCACGCAGUAAACGGUGAUCACUAGGUGUGUUAGGGGGUAUUGACCCCUGCUGGUGCCGGAGUUAACGCAUUAGUGAUCGGGGGAAUACGGCGCAGAUUAAACUCAAAGAAUUGACGGGCCCGCACAGCGG
rnacentral:rRNA from 1 species